AUUGAACGCUGGCGGCAGGCCUAACACAUGCAAGUCGAGCGGAUGAAGGGAGCUUGCUCCUGGAUUCAGCGGCGGACGGGUGAGUAAUGCCUAGGAAUCUGCCUGGUAGUGGGGGGUAACGUCCGGAAACGGGCGCUAAUACCACAUACGUCCUGAGGGAGAAAGUGGGGGAUCUUCGGACCUCACGCUAUCAGAUGAGCCUAGGUCGGAUUAGCUAGUUGGUGGGGUAAAGGCCUACCAAGGCGACGAUCCGUAACUGGUCUGAGAGGAUGAUCAGUCACACUGGAACUGAGACACGGUCCAGACUCCUACGGGAGGCAGCAGUGGGGAAUAUUGGACAAUGGGCGAAAGCCUGAUCCAGCCAUGCCGCGUGUGUGAAGAAGGUCUUCGGAUUGUAAAGCACUUUAAGUUGGGAGGAAGGGCAGUAAGUUAAUACCUUGCUGUUUUGACGUUACCAACAGAAUAAGCACCGGCUAACUUCGUG
rnacentral:rRNA from 1 species